rnacentral:lncRNA from 1 species
CCGUGAAGUGGGCGGAGCGAGCGAUUUGAACGCGAGCGGCGCGGACUUCUGCCAAGCACCGGCUCAUGUGAGGCUCGCGGCACAGCGUUCUCUGGGCUCCCCAGAAGCCAGCCUUUCGCUCCCGGACCCGGCAGCCCGAGCAGGAGCCGUGGGACCGGGCGCCAGCACCCUCUGCGGCGUGUCAUGGGCCCGCGCCGCCGGAGCCGAAAGCCCGAGGCCCCGAGGAGGCGCAGCCCGAGCCCGACCCCGACCCCCGGCCCCUCCCGGCGGGGCCCCUCCUUAGGCUGGAGUGCAGCAGCACGAUCUCGGCUCACUGCAACCUCCAACUCCCAAGUUCAAGCGAUUCUCCUGCCUCAGCCUCUCGGACCCUGUCUCUAUUUUUUUUUAAAUAAAGAAAUAAAAAUUCUGUGUAACUUCAU